CGGUUGAGCCGGGGAUUCGCCGACGUCGCGCCGCGAGCCGUUCGAGCGAGCGUUUGUUGCCGGGGCAUUGCGAAGAGGCCGGGCGAGGGUGCGUCUUCGCCGUCCUGGACAUCGCGCCGAGGAUUGUCGCUGUUGAGAAUCUACCGUCGACUGUUAGUAUUUCGGCUCGUUCUCCGCGUAGGAGCGUCGGAUCGCGACGAAACUUGGUUCAUUGGAUUCUAGACUGCGAGAGGAUUCCACAGAGCCCUCACUUGCAAUUUUUGGACGAGCUCGGCGACCGGUCUAGGUGGUCCCUGAGGAAUCCAGCAGCAUCGCGGGUGGCCGAGGCUGAGUUCGCUGCCAGGAAAUUGCACUUGAGGUGGGUUA